rnacentral:rRNA from 1 species
CAUGCAGUCGAGCGGGGUUUUCGGACCUAGCGGCGGACGGGUGAGUAAUGCGUAGGAAGCUACCCGAUAGAGGGGGAUACCAGUUGGAAACGACUGUUAAUACCGCAUAAUGUCUACGGACCAAAGUGUGGGACCUUCGGGCCACAUGCUAUCGGAUGCGCCUACGUGGGAUUAGCUAGUUGGUGAGGUAAUGGCUCACCAAGGCGACGAUCUCUAGCUGGUUUGAGAGGAUGAUCAGCCACACUGGAACUGAGACACGGUCCAGACUCCUACGGGAGGCAGCAGUGGGGAAUAUUGGACAAUGGGCGCAAGCCUGAUCCAGCCAUGCCGCGUGUGUGAAGAAGGCCUUCGGGUUGUAAAGCACUUUCAGCGAGGAGGAAGAGUUGUGUGUUAAUAGUACACAGCUUUGACGUUACUCGCAGAAGAAGCACCGGCUAACUCUGUGCCAGCAGCCGCGGUAAUACAGAGGGUGCAAGCGUUAAUCGGAAUUACUGGGCGUAAAGCGCACGUAGGCGGUUUUUUAAGUCAGAUGUGAAAGCCCCGGGCUCAACCUGGGAAUUGCAUUUGAAACUGGAAAACUAGAGUGUGUGAGAGGGGGGUAGAAUUCCAAGUGUAGCGGUGAAAUGCGUAGAGAUUUGGAGGAAUACCAGUGGCGAAGGCGGCCCCCUGGCACAACACUGACGCUCAGGUGCGAAAGCGU